rnacentral:rRNA from 1 species
UGGGGAAUUUGGACAAUGGGCGAAAGCCUGAUCCAGCAAUGCCGCGUGUGUGAAGAAGGCCUUCGGGUUGUAAAGCACUUUUGUCCGGAAAGAAAUCCUUGGCUCUAAUACAGUCGGGGGAUGACGGUACCGGAAGAAUAAGCACCGGCUAACUACGUGCCAGCAGCCGCGGUAAUACGUAGGGUGCAAGCGUUAAUCGGAAUUACUGGGCGUAAAGCGUGCGCAGGCGGUUUGCUAAGACCGAUGUGAAAUCCCCGGGCUCAACCUGGGAACUGCAUUGGUGACUGGCAGGCUAGAGUAUGGCAGAGGGGGGUAGAAUUCCACGUGUAGCAGUGAAAUGCGUAGAGAUGUGGAGGAAUACCGAUGGCGAAGGCAGCCCCCUGGGCCAAUACUGACGCUCAUGCACGAAAGCGUGGGGAGCAAACAGGAUUAGAUACCCUGGUAGUCCACGCCCUAAACGAUGUCAACUAGUUGUUGGGGAUUCAUUUCCUUAGUAACGUAGCUAACGCGUGAAGUUGACCGCCUGGGGAGUACGGUCGCAAGAUUAAAACUUAAAGGAAUUGACGGGG